UUUUUAAUAAAUAUGCGAACCCAGAGCUUCGGAGCAUCCCGGAGUCCUCCCGAGUCCGGCCCCGCCCCCGUUCCGUGACGUCAUGCGCCCCAGCCAAUCACCGGAACCGGAGAGGAGCGCCGCGGUCCGCCAGCCCGGUGACGUCACAGCGCGGACCCGACCUCCGCGGCUUUCCCCGCUCCAAGCCUCCAGACGAAAACUCAGCCUGACCGAACCGUGAUGUAAACCUUGACAGACCCUGAGCAGAGAAUGCACUCAUGUGGUGGCUGUGCCGGAACUACUGACUUACAGCACUAGUCCCGUGAGGCAUCCCAUGUAGGGAUGUGUUCAGGCUCCAGGUACAGGACAGUCGUCAUCCAGAACGUCGACCAGGUCUUUCAUGCUGCCUGAAGGUGAAGAAACAUAAGGGCUUCCUGAAGACCCUUCGUUGUUCUGGCUCUGGAAGCAGAAGGAAGGUGAAAAUGAA